GCUCUCCCGCCCUGGGGUCUCCGCCACUGGGCGCCAAUGGAGACAAAAAGGCGGCGCCUCCGCUCCUCCUCUCGCCCGCGGACCCUUCGGAGGCGAAGAUGGGUCUGUGCCGCCAAAGAAGCCCGGCUCCCCUGAAAGCCAGGCAGCGCCCGCCGACGCUCCCCUUCCCCUUCCUCCUCCUGCUCUCCUGCCUUUGCACCGGGCGGCACGCCUCGGGUUUUCCUCAACCUUUUGCUGGCUGGCUAAGUGAAUCAGAUAUUCCUAAAAGUGAGAGACUGGCACUGUGUUUCAGUCAGUGGAUAGAACUCUCUGACCAACCUCAGGUCUCCAGUUCUGUUAUGGAUCUUUGUAACUCCAUGUUUAAUAGUCUGCAGAUAGAUGAGGAAAACAAUCAGGAAAUAUAUAAAAGGUUUUUAUUUCACUACUCCAGAGCUCAAGACCCAACUUAUCCACUUAACGCUGGGUCUUUCCCUGUGCAUCCUUUAAUGAGCCUUGCUCCAAAGCUCUCGGAGAGAAGAAUGAAAAGAUUCCUUGAUCCAGAAUCGCAGGUGGCCGCUGCAGAAUUCACGAAGAAGGAUGGUUUGGAUCCCUUGGGGCGACCCUUUUUCCUUUUUCGGCCUAGGAAUGGAAGGACAGUGGAUAAUGGAGGUGAAUAGGCCAAAAUAAAAGGCUCUUGUGGAUCCUGAAAUUCUUGGCUUGGCCUCCAUGCUCCAUCCGUUUGUACUACAAAGUGAAAUGUUGGGACUAUGCUUAGCCCCUGUUUUAAGAGACAUGCCUCUCUACUAUAUGAAAUCAUACACAAUAAACCUGCAGCCAUGAA